UAAAAAAAUCGCACAAGACUUUUUUGAAAACACGGUUUACUCCAUAGGAUUAAAAUCUAAAACAGGCGCUGGCAGCUUAAAAAAAAGACACCAAGUGUGAACA